UCCCCAUGACUCUCAAAAUAUGUUUCAUAACAAUGAUAACCAGGAGCUCACACAUACUGAGGGUGUUGACAAGCAAUUAGGAGCCUGGAUCCCUCUGGUUCCAGGGCUGGGCAGCGUGUCAGGGCAUCACCGUUCAAAGCAGGCCCUAUAAAAGCUCCCACUCUGCAUGCCUAGUGGUGGAAGGGGAGAGAGGAAGCUCUCCCAUUGUACCUCUCUGUAUUCACUCACUUCUUCUUUCCAGUCGCAAUCACUGCAGCACCCACCACACCCGCUGCCACCACCCAAACCAACCAAGUCACCAGCAAAGACAUCUCCUGCCACAGCCCGCAUCCAGCAGAACCUACCACACGCACUGACACCACCCAGAGCAGCCAUGUCACCAAGAAGGACAACUCGCGAUGGGGCACGGAUGCAGGAACAAGCAACGAGAACCCAAUGAAUUCAUGCUGUAAAUUCAUCCUGUGGGUUAACCUGCCGUGUGCCUGCCUCCUGCUCCUCACUGCCAUAACCAUCACCAUCUGCCAAAGUAAGUCGCACCCUCACACCCUGCAGAGCUUCCUGCAGCCUCACACCAAAGAGCACAGCCCGCUCCUCCAGGGGAAUGGGCUCUCUGC